rnacentral:sRNA from 2 species
AUGAGCAAUGCAGAAGUUUGCACUUGUCGGGGAAGGGUGAGAACCUUCGAUUAAGGUUCGACUCGAGCGAAAGAACGUUGCCAACGGUAACGGCCCGUAGGGUGAGGAGUGAAGCGACGAAUAAUCCUUCCUCCACCACCAUC